GCAGGGUGAACACGUGAUGGGCUGAGCUCACAAAGGGCCUGGGUGGUGGGCUGCUGGGGGUUGGACUGGUGCCUGUUUGUCUGCCUGCUUUUCCUCCUCCCCCCAAAGGAUUCAGUUCCCUGGAGGUCAUAACCUUGUGUGGGACUUAACUCAGCAUCAUGAGAAUGUGCACAUAAUGACCAGCAAACAUUUUUCUCCCAAGAGAAAAGGUGAACUCAGCGGAGUGAGAAAGGGAGAAAUAACCUUCAGGGAAGUGCAUUCCAGGCGGGAGCUGUCACCAGUACUCCACCACCCAACUGUGGGGAAAAGAAAACACCAGCUGCCGAAACCCGGGAUCGAACCAGGGACCUUUAGAUCUUCAGUCUAACGCUCUCCCAACUGAGCUAUUUCGGCGGCUGCUGGCGCUGGGGUGCGCUUUUGUCCUCCUUGUCGUCUAACUGCCGUGGGUCCUCGACGUGGUAAUCCGGUGCCGCGAGACCAGAAUCAGCAGGAGUGCGUGACU